rnacentral:lncRNA from 1 species
UACGUGGGAAGUCCACCCGCCGAGGACGGAAGUGGCGAGCGCGGUCUCCUGGGCCCGAGCCCGAGAGACAGGACUCACCCUGCGUGAAGCCGCAAAAAAAUCCUACCCCGGAAACACCUGUCGCUGCGGGCGGUGCUGCGGUUGGACGGUUACUGUUUCCCGGCUGCUGGCCCUCACUCCCCGCCCCGCGCAAGGCCAACCCCCACCGGAUCUCUCCGGAUCGCUCCGUCCCAAGGCCAGCCAUCUGGACCAGCAGAAGAUAAGGCCGUUUCGCCUGACUAUUAAACCUUGAGAAAAUGCUGAUUUGAUGCUUUUCGCUUCUGUACUGUGCCUGUUUUCCCUUAUAAAAAGGACCCCCCUUCCGGGGCUCGGGGCUUGGCAAAACAGAAGCUAAGCCCCGGAUAUCCGUGUUAUUAAUAAACCCUCUUGCUCUUGCAUCCAAAGUUCGUGGUUUCGCUGAUUCCUGGGUGUGGGUCUCCUUCUACGAAAGUACCUCUGCGAGGGUCUUUCAAGAGAAAGGAGACCA